ACGGGGGGGGCAAGCGUUGUUCGGAAUUACUGGGCGUAAAGGGUUCGUAGGUGGCCAACUAAGUCAGACGUGAAAUCCCUCAGCUUAACUGGGGAACUGCGUCUGAUACUGGUUGGCUUGAGUGCAGGAGAGGAACGCGGAAUUCCAGGUGUAGCGGUGAAAUGCGUAGAUAUCUGGAGGAACACCGGUGGCGAAGGCGGCGUUCUGGACUGUUACUGACACUGAUGAACGAAAGCCAGGGGAGCAAACGGGAUUAGAUACCCCGGUAGUCCUGGCCCUAAACGAUGAAUGCUUGGUGUGGCGGGUAUCGAUCCCUGCCGUGCCGAAGUUAACGCGUUAAGCAUUCCGCCUGGGGAGUACGGUCGCAAGGCUG
rnacentral:rRNA from 1 species